rnacentral:lncRNA from 1 species
UCAGAAUUAACGUGUAUAUCAUUCUCGGAUUCGGUAUCUUCCUCAUCCUCAGUUUCGAAAUCAGUUUCGUCAUCGUUAUCAUCCUCAACGACUACAUAAUCAUUCAUGUGUACGGUGGCCUCGACAUCCUCAUCAUUAGGUACGUCAAUGACAUCAGUACUCACCACAUCUUCAGCAUGGAACACUACGGCCAAUGGGUUGCUCACAUCUUCUUGCAACGCCUCAUCCAUACCAAACAUGUUAUCAACAUUAAAUGAGCGUGUUUUAGUAGUGACUACUGUGUACCAGGGGCUUCGAGUAUUUACGACAUUAGGAGCGUAAUACACUUGAGUCACUUGACUUGCUAACACGUACACGUCAUCAGAAUUUAA